UCUGCCUUGGAUCAAGACCAGCUGUUUCCACUUACCUCUUCAUUACUGCUGCCUUCUUAAGGAGCUCAUGGAUCUUCAGCCGACGCCAGAUCGUUGUUCCUCCAACGGAAAAUCCUGCUCUGGAACUCACCUGGUCGCGAUCCUCUGGUCUCUCGUGCUUCGCUCCUGGACCCGCUCUGCAAGACUCCUCCAGCCAGCCGUCGCUCCUCACCCUGGGAAAAACGCCACCACUCACGUUCUGCCAAAUUAAACCUCCUAAACUUA